rnacentral:rRNA from 1 species
GAAACGACUGCUAAGACUGGAUAGGAGACAAGAAGGCAUCUUCUUGUUUUUAAAAGACCUAGCAAUAGGUAUGCUUAGGGAGGAGCUUGCGUCACAUUAGUUAGUUGGUGGGGUAAAGGCCUACCAAGACUAUGAUGUGUAGCCGGGCUGAGAGGUUGAACGGCCACAUUGGGACUGAGACACGGCCCAAACUCCUACGGGAGGCAGCAGUAGGGAAUUUUCGGCAAUGGAGGAAACUCUGACCGAGCAACGCCGCGUGAACGAUGAAGUAUUUCGGUACGUAAAGUUCUUUUAUUAGGGAAGAAUAAAUGAUGGAAAAAUCAUUCUGACGGUACCUAAUGAAUAAGCCCCGGCUAACUAUGUGCCAGCAGCCGCGGUAAUACAUAGGGGGCAAGCGUUAUCCGGAAUUAUUGGGCGUAAAGGGUGCGUAGGCGGUUAAAUAAGUUUAUGGUCUAAGUGCAAUGCUCAACAUUGUGAUGCUAUAAAAACUGUUUAGCUAGAGUAAGAUAGAGGCAAGUGGAAUUCCAUGUGUAGUGGUAAAAUGCGUAAAUAUAUGGAGGAACACCAGUAGCGAAGGCGGCUUGCUGGGUCUUUACUGACGCUGAGGCACGAAAGCGUGGGGAGCAAACAGGAUUAGAUACCCUGGUAGUCCACGCCGUAAACGAUGAGUACUAAACGUUGGGUAAAACCAGUGUUGAAGUUGACACAUUAAGUACUCCGCCUGAGUAGUACGUACGCAAGUAUGAAACUUAAAGGAAUUGACGGGACUCCGCACAAGCGGUGGAUCAUGUUGUUUAAUUCGAAGGUACCCGAAAAACCUCACCAGGUCUUGACAUGCUUCUGCAAAGCUGUAGAAGCACAGUGGAGGUUAUCAGUUGCACAGGUGGUGCAUGGUUGUCGUCAGCUCGUGUCGUGAGAUGUUGGGUUAAGUCCCGCAACGAGCGCAACCCUUAUUGUUAGUUACCAGCACGUAAUGGUGGGGACUUUAGCAAGACUGCCAGUGAUGAAUUGGAGGAAGGUGGGGACGACGUCAAAUCAUCAUGCCCCUUAUGACCUGGGCUACAAACGUGAUACAAUGGCUGUUACAAAGGGUAGCUGAAGCGCAAGUUUUUGGCGAAUCUCAAAAAAACAGUCUCAGUUCGGAUUGAAGUCUGCAACUCGACUUCAUGAAGUUGGAAUCGCUAGUAAUCGCGAAUCAGCAUGUCGCGGUGAAUACGUUCGCGGGGUUUGUACACACCGCCCGUCA